rnacentral:rRNA from 1 species
CUACGGAGGGGGCUAGCGUUGUUCGGAAUUACUGGGCGUAAAGCGCACGUAGGCGGAUUAAAAAGUUAGAGGUGAAAUCCCAGGGCUUAACCCUGGAACUGCCUUUAAAACUAGUAGUCUAGAGUUCGAGAGAGGUGAGUGGAAUUCCAAGUGUAGAGGUGAAAUUCGUAGAUAUUUGGAGGAACACCAGUGGCGAAGGCGGCUCACUGGCUCGAUACUGACGCUGAGGUGCGAAAGCGUGGGGAGCAAACAGGAUUAGAAACCCUAGUAGUCC